ACACGUGGGUAACCUGCCUGUAAGACUGGGAUAACUCCGGGAAACCGGGGCUAAUACCGGAUGCUUGAUUGAACCGCAUGGUUCAAUCAUAAAAGGUGGCUUUUAGCUACCACUUACAGAUGGACCCGCGGCGCAUUAGCUAGUUGGUGAGGUAACGGCUCACCAAGGCGACGAUGCGUAGCCGACCUGAGAGGGUGAUCGGCCACACUGGGACUGAAACACGGCCCAGACUCCUACGGGAGGCAGCAGUAGGGAAUCUUCCGCAAUGGACGAAAGUCUGACGGAACAACGCCGCGUGAGUGAUGAAGGUUUUCGGAUCGUAAAACUCUGUUGUUAGGGAAGAACAAGUACCGUUCGAAUAGGGCGGUACCUUGACGGUACCUAACCAGAAAGCCACGGCUAACUACGUGCCAGCAGCCGCGGUAAUACGUAGGUGGCAAGCGUUGUCCGGAAUUAUUGGGCGUAAAGCGCGCGCAGGCGGUUUCUUAAGUCUGAUGUGAAAGCCCCCGGCUCAACCGGGGAGGGUCAUUGGAAACUGGGGAACUUGAGUGCAGAAGAGGAGAGUGGAAUUCCACGUGUAGCGGUGAAAUGCGUAGAGAUGUGGAGGAACACCAGUGGCGAAGGCGACUCUCUGGUCUGUAACUGACGCUGAGGCGCGAAAGCGUGGGGAGCGAACAGGAUUAGAUACCCUGGUAGUCCACGCCGUAAACGAUGAGUGCUAAGUGUUAGAGGGUUUCCGCCCUUUAGUGCUGCAGCAAACGCAUUAAGCACUCCGCCUGGGGAGUACGGUCGCAAGACUGAAACUCAAAGGAAUUGACGGGGGCCCGCACAAGCGGUGGAGCAUGUGGUUUAAUUCGAAGCAACGCGAAGAACCUUACCAGGUCUUGACAUCCUCUGACAACCCUAGAGAUAGGGCUUCCCCUUCGGGGGCAGAGUGACAGGUGGUGCAUGGUUGUCGUCAGCUCGUGUCGUGAGAUGUUGGGUUAAGUCCCGCAACGAGCGCAACCCUUGAUCUUAGUUGCCAGCAUUCAGUUGGGCACUCUAAGGUGACUGCCGGUGACAAACCGGAGGAAGGUGGGGAUGACGUCAAAUCAUCAUGCCCCUUAUGACCUGGGCUACACACGUGCUACAAUGGGCAGAACAAAGGGCAGCGAAGCCGCGAGGCUAAGCCAAUCCCACAAAUCUGUUCUCAGUUCGGAUCGCAGUCUGCAACUCGACUGCGUGAAGCUGGAAUCGCUAGUAAUCGCGGAUCAGCAUGCCGCGGUGAAUACGUUCCCGGGCCUUGUACACACCGCC
rnacentral:rRNA from 1 species